AAAAAGAUAAGCUAAUAAAGCUAGUAGGCUCAUACCCUUUAUAUGGGAGUAAAGUCUCCCUCUUUUUA
rnacentral:tRNA from 1 species